CAGCAGCCACGGUAAUACGUAGGGUGCAAGCGUUAAUCGGAAUUACUGGGCGUAAAGCGUGCGCAGGCGGUUAUAUAAGACAGAUGUGAAAUCCCCGGGCUCAACAUGGGAACUGCAUUUGUGACUGUAUAGCUAGAGUACGGCAGAGGGGGAUGGAAUUCCGCGUGUAGCAGUGAAAUGCGUAGAUAUGCGGAGGAACACCGAUGGCGAAGGCAAUCCCCUGGGCCUGUACUGACGCUCAUGCACGAAAGCGUGGGGAGCAAACAGGAUUAGAUACCCCCGUAGUCCCUGUCUCUUAUAC
rnacentral:rRNA from 1 species